AGUCAUCACAUGACCCAUCCACAUUGGGAAGCCAGAAUUACUUGCAGGAGUAACCUAGUGCCUAUAGCUAUGGCAGGUGCCUUCAGCCGCUACAAGAGCAGAAGCAGUGGGCAUUGGAUGGAGCUGAGUACAGGACCAUACAGGCUAAUUGCACCGGCACAGGAAUCGGAUAUAACAUCAUCUGGGUACCCAUGGCCAGCUGUGACUUCUCCAUCCGCACCUACACCUAUGCAGACACCCCUGAUGAUUUCCAGUUGCACAACUUCAGCCUCCCAGAGGAAGAUACCAAGCUCAAGAUACCCCUGAUUCACCGAGCCCUGCAGUUGGCCCAGCGUCCCGUUUCACUCCUUGCCAGCCCCUGGACAUCACCCACUCGGCUCAAGACCAGGGGAGCGGGGAAUGGGAAGGGGCCACUCAAGGGACAGCCCAGAGACAUCUACCACCAGACCUGGGCCAGAUACAUUGUGAAGUUCCUGGAUGCCUAUGCUGAGCACAAGUUACAGUUCUGGGCAGUGACAGCUGAAAAUGAGCCUUCUGCUGGGCUGUUGAGUGGAUACCCCUUCCAGUGCCUGGGCUUCACCCCUGAACAUCAGCGAGACUUCAUUGCCCGUGACCUAGGUCCUACCCUUGCCAACGGUACUCACCACAAUGUCCGCCUACUCAUGCUGGAUGACCAACGCUUGCUGCUGCCCCACUGGGCAAAGGUGGUACUGACAGACCCAGAAGCAGCUAAGUAUGUUCAUGGUAUUGCUGUACAUUGGUACCUGGACUUUCUGGCUCCAGCCAAAGCCACCCUAAGGGAGACACACCACCUGUUCCCCAACACCAUGCUCUUUGCCUCAGAGGCCUGUGUGGGUUCCAAGUUCUGGGAGCAGAGUGUGCGGCUAGGCUCCUGGGAUCGAGGGAUGCAGUACAGCCACAGCAUCAUCACAGUCUGCACACCUCAUUGCCCCUUUUGCAACUACUGAGGCACUUGCAGCUGCCUCAGACUUCUCAGCUCCCCUUGAGAUGCCUGGAUCUUCACACCCCCAACUCCUUAGCUACUAAGGAAUGUGCCCCUCACAGGGCUGACCUACCCACAGCUGCCUCUCCCACACGUGACCCUUACCUACACUCUCUGGGGACCCCCAGUGUUGCGCCUUUGUCUCCUUGCCUUUGUCCUUACCCUAGAACCUCCUGUACCAUGUGGUCGGCUGGACCGACUGGAACCCAUCAUUGUAGACAUCACCAAGCACACGUUUUACAAACAGCCCAUGUUCUACCACCUUGGCCACUUCAGCAAGUUCAUUCCUGAGGGCUCCCAGAGAGUGGGGCUGGUUGCCAGUCAGAAGAACGACCCGGACGCAGUGGCACUGAUGCAUCCCGAUGGCUCUGCUGUUGUGGUCGUGCUAAACCGCUCCUCUAAGGAUGUGCCUCUUACCAUCAAGGAUCCUGCUGUGGGCUUCCUGGAGACAAUCUCACCUGGCUACUCCAUUCACACCUACCUGUGGCGUCGCCAGUGAUGGAGCAGAUACUCAAGGAGGCACUGGGCUCAGCCUGGGCAUUAAAGGGACAGAGUCAGCUCA
ensembl:lncRNA GBA1LP glucosylceramidase beta 1 like, pseudogene